ACGAGUUGGACAUGUACCAGUGAGGAGAAAAAGAAAUAGCCGGAGGGGCCUCUCAGCUGUGCGGUUGGAUUAAAUAUCCCAGGCACUAGGACACAGGGAAUCACUCCUGCUCCGAAUGCUGCUGCCAGUUCUCCUCCCUUCACCAUGCAGCCCAUGAACAUGGACUUGUCCAGCAAGGGCUGGGCAGGAGUGACUAACAAAGAAACACCUGUGCAUGAGGGAUGUUGUGGCUCUUGCUGGCCCCAGGCACCUCAAACCUUCCCCAUGAGCAGAGCCCACUCUCACACAGAAGUUACCAGGACUAACCAAGAAGAGGACCAAGUGUGUGUGGAUCUCCAAGAACAGAAGAUCUACACACACCAUC